AUUGAACGCUGGCGGCAUGCCUUACACACGCAAGUCGAACGGCAGCGGACCUUCGGGUGCCGGCGAGUGGCGAACGGGUGAGUAAUAUAUCGGAACGUACCUUUCAGUGGGGGAUAACGUAGCGAAAGUUACGCUAAUACCGCAUAUUCUGUGAGCAGGAAAGCAGGGGAUCGCAAGACCUUGCGCUGAUUGAGCGGCCGAUAUCAGAUUAGCUAGUUGGUGAGGUAAAGGCUCACCAAGGCGACGAUCUGUAGCGGGUCUGAGAGGAUGAUCCGCCACACUGGAACUGAGACACGGUCCAGACUCCUACGGGAGGCAGCAGUGGGGAAUUUUGGACAAUGGGCGCAAGCCUGAUCCAGCCAUGCCGCGUGAGUGAAGAAGGCCUCGGUUGUUAAGACGUACUUUCGGUCCGGUACGGAAAGUACGACGACA
rnacentral:rRNA from 1 species